rnacentral:rRNA from 1 species
UCCCAGACUCCUACGGGAGGCAGCAGUGAGGAAUAUUGGUCAAUGGGCGCGAGCCUGAACCAGCCAAGUAGCGUGAAGGAUGACUGCCCUACGGGUUGUAAACUUCUUUUAUAAAGGAAUAAAGUGAGGCACGUGUGCCUUUUUGUAUGUACUUUAUGAAUAAGGAUCGGCUAACUCCGUGCCAGCAGCCGCGGUAAUACGGAGGAUCCGAGCGUUAUCCGGAUUUAUUGGGUUUAAAGGGUGCGCAGGCGGCGCGGCAAGCCGGCGGUCAAAGCGCGGGGCUCAACCCCGCGCAGCCGUCGGAACUGUCGGGCUAGAGUGGGCGAGAAGUGCGCGGAAUGCGUGGUGUAGCGGUGAAAUGCAUAGAUAUCACGCAGAACUCCGAUUGCGAAGGCAGCGUACCGGCGCCCAACUGACGCUGAAGCACGAAGGCGUGGGUAUCGAACAGGAUUAGAUACCCCUGUACU